rnacentral:rRNA from 1 species
UACGUAGGGCGCAAGCGUUUGUCCGGAAUUAUUGGGCGUAAAGAGCUCGUAGGUGGUUUGUUACGUCUGCUGUGAAAACCUAGGGCUUAACCCUGGGCCUGCAGUGGAUACGGGCAGACUAGAGGUAGGUAGGGGAGAAUGGAAUUCCCGGUGUAGCGGUGAAAUGCGCAGAUAUCGGGAGGAACACCGGUGGCGAAGGCGGUUCUCUGGGCCUUACCUGACACUGAGGAGCGAAAGCGUGGGGAGCGAACAGG